UUUAAAAGUAUAAACCUUUAAUAAAGUGAUUGACUUGAUUGACUCUCUCUCUCCAAACCCUUUCCUUCUCACUCGUGACUCACUCUCUCUCACCACACUCACCUUCUUCUCUCUCAUUUUUUUUUCUGCCAUAGCCAUAGUUUAGGGCUUUAAAGUUCAAACUUCAAACAAAGUUUCAAUCCAUAAUCCAUUGCCCCGCCCCCGACCCCCAAUCUCACUCACCCAGUCACUCUUACUCUCACUCUCUUCUUCUCUCGUCUCUCCAUCCGAAACUCUCUUCUCAUCAUCAACAUCAAUCAAGCACCAUCUUCCAUAUUCAGAUUUAAGGUUUAAAACUGUGUCAAGACUCUGCCAAGACUCGACCUAUAUCUCACUCUAAGCACAACCCAAAUUGGUUUAAGAUCAGGAUGGGCUAUUAUGAUUACUUGAAUGUUAAAAUGCAUUCUUCAUGCAAAAUAAUAAAAUUGUUGUAGCUAUAUUUUUGGUUAAAAAAGACCAUGCAAGUUGGUCUUAGCAUAUUCUUUUUAUUUUACUCUGGUAUAUGUUUUGUAUUAUCAAUUUCUUACAUUAAAACAAAAUCUUCAUUUAAGAAAGAUGCUUGAAGGAUGGAUUA